CAAGUCGAGGGGCAGCGGGUGUAGCAAUACAUGCCGGCGACCGGCGCACGGGUGCGUAACACGUAUGUAAUCUGCCCAUUACUAGGGGAUAGCCCGAAGAAAUUCGGAUUAAUACCCUAUAACAUAACGAAAAGGCAUCUUUUUGUUAUUAAAGCUCCGGCGGUAAUGGAUGAACAUGCGCGACAUUAGCUAGUUGGUGAGGUAACGGCUCACCAAGGCGACGAUGUCUAGGGGUACUGAGAGGUUUCACCCCCACACUGGUACUGAGACACGGACCAGACUCCUACGGGAGGCAGCAGUAAGGAAUAUUGGACAAUGGUCGCAAGACUGAUCCAGCCAUGCCGCGUGCAGGAUGAAGGCCCUAUGGGUUGUAAACUGCUUUUAUACGGGAAUAAACCCUCCGACGUGUCGGGGGCUGAAUGUACUGUAAGAAUAAGGGUCGGCUAACUUCGUGCCAGCAGCCGCGGUAAGACGAAGGACCCAAGCGUUAUCCGGAUUCAUUGGGUUUAAAGGGUGCGUAGGCGGAUUGAUAAGUCAGUGGUGAAAGCCUGCAGCUUAACUGCAGAACUGCCAUUGAUACUGUCGAUCUUGAAUAUGUUUGAUGUGGGCGGAAUAUGACAUGUAGCGGUGAAAUGCUUAGAUAUGUCAUAGAACACCGAUUGCGAAGGCAGCUCACAAAGCCAUAAUUGACGCUGAGGCACGAAAGCGUGGGGAGCAAACAGGAUUAGAUACCCUGGUAGUCCACGCCGUAAACUUUGAUCACUCGCUGUUGGCGAUACACUGUCAGCGGCCAAGCGAAAGCGUUAAGUGAUCCACCUGGGGAGUACGAUCGCAAGAUUGAAACUCAAAGGAAUUGACGG
rnacentral:rRNA from 1 species